rnacentral:rRNA from 1 species
AGAGUUUGAUCAUGGCUCAGGAUGAACGCUAGCGGCAGGCUUAACACAUGCAAGUCGAGGGGUAUAGGUUUUCGGACCUAGAGACCGGCGCACGGGUGCGUAACGCGUAUGCAAUCUACCUUUUACAGAGGGAUAGCCCAGAGAAAUUUGGAUUAAUACCUCAUAGUAUUAUUGAAUGGCAUCAUUUAAUAAUUAAAGUCACAACGGUAAAAGAUGAGCAUGCGUCCCAUUAGCUUGUUGGUAAGGUAACGGCUUACCAAGGCAACGAUGGGUAGGGGUCCUGAGAGGGAGAUCCCCCACACUGGUACUGAGACACGGACCAGACUCCUACGGGAGGCAGCAGUGAGGAAUAUUGGUCAAUGGGCGCAAGCCUGAGCCAGCCAUGCCGCGUGCAGGAUGAAGCAUCUAUGGUGUGUAAACUGCUUUUGUACGAGAAGAAACACUCCUACGUGUAGGAGCUUGACGGUAUCGUAAGAAUAAGGACCGGCUAACUCCGUGCCAGCAGCCGCGGUAAUACGGAGGGUCCAAGCGUUAUCCGGAAUCAUUGGGUUUAAAGGGUCCGUAGGCGGUUUUGUAAGUCAGUGGUGAAAGCCCAUCGCUCAACGGUGGAACGGCCAUUGAUACUGCAAGACUUGAAUUAUUAGGAAGUAACUAGAAUAUGUAGUGUAGCGGUGAAAUGCUUAGAGAUUACAUGGAAUACCAAUUGCGAAGGCAGGUUACUACUAAUGGAUUGACGCUGAUGGACGAAAGCGUGGGGAGCGAACAGGAUUAGAUACCCUAGUAGUCC